rnacentral:rRNA from 1 species
GAGCCCGCUUCCCAUUAGAUAGACGUCUGGGUUUCCGGCCUUCCGUGGCAACGAUGAGAUAGCAGGCCUGAGAGGGAGGCCAUACCACUUUGGGUCUGGAACACGACCCAGACUCCUCCGCGAGGCAGCACUGGGGAAUAGUAUGCAAUUGACAAAAGUCUGUAUGCAGCGGCGCCGUGUGGAGGAUGAAGGUGUUCGGUUCGUAUAAUCCUGUCACGAGGGUAGUAACCUACCACGAAUAAUACUUGUGGGAGUUGACGGUUCCUUUAGAGGAAGCACCGGCAAAAUCAGUGCCAGCAGCGCGCGGUAAUACUGAAGGUGCAAUCGUUAAUGGAGUAUCACUGGGCGUAAAGCGCUCAGUAGGUGGCUUCGUAGUCAGAUGUGAAAGCCCAGGGCUCACCCCUGGAAUUGCAUCUGAUACUGCAUCGCUAGAGUAUAGGAGAGGGA